rnacentral:rRNA from 1 species
GUCGAGGGGUAUUCUAGCAAUAGAAGAGACCGGCGCACGGGUGCGUAACGCGUAUGCAACCUACCUUUUACAGGGGAAUAGCCCAGAGAAAUUUGGAUUAAUGCCCCAUGGUAUAAUUUAAUGGCAUCGUUUAAUUAUUAAAGUUCCAACGGUAAAAGAUGGGCAUGCGUCCUAUUAGCUAGAUGGUAAGGUAACGGCUUACCAUGGCUACGAUAGGUAGGGGUCCUGAGAGGGAGAUCCCCCACACUGGUACUGAGACACGGACCAGACUCCUACGGGAGGCAGCAGUGAGGAAUAUUGGACAAUGGGCGCAAGCCUGAUCCAGCCAUGCCGCGUGCAGGAAGACGCAUCUAUGGUGUGUAAACUGCUUUUGUACGGGAAGAAACACUCCCUCGUGAGGGAGCUUGACGGUACCGUAAGAAUAAGGAUCGGCUAACUCCGUGCCAGCAGCCGCGGUAAUACGGAGGAUCCAAGCGUUAUCCGGAAUCAUUGGGUUUAAAGGGUCCGUAGGCGGUUUGAUAAGUCAGUGGUGAAAGCCCAUCGCUCAACGAUGGAACGGCCAUUGAUACUGUUAGACUUGAAUUACAAGGAAGUAACUAGAAUAUGUAGUGUAGCGGUGAAAUGCUUAGAUAUUACAUGGAAUACCAAUUGCGAAGGCAGGUUACUACUUGUGGAUUGACGCUGAUGGACGAAAGCGUGGGGAGCGAACAGGAUUAGAUACCCUGGUAGUCCACGCCGUAAACGAUGGAUACUAGCUGUUCGGAGCAAUCUGAGUGGCUAAGCGAAAGUGAUAAGUAUCCCACCUGGGGAGUACGUUCGCA